rnacentral:rRNA from 1 species
GAAGCAAUACCGCGAGGUGGAGCAAAACUUCAAAAAUAGGUCUCAGUUCGGACUGUAGGCUGCAACUCGCCUACACGAAGUUGGAAUUGCUAGUAAUCGUGGAUCAGCAUGCCACGGUGAAUACGUUCCCGGGUCUUGUACACACCGCCCGUCACACCAUGGGAGCUGGUAACACCCGAAGUCAGUAGUCUAACCGCAAGGAGGACGCUGCCGAAGGUGGGAUUAGCGACUGGGGUGAAGUCGUAACAAGGUAGC